rnacentral:rRNA from 1 species
GACGAACGCUGGCGGCGUGCCUAAUACAUGCAAGUAGAACGCAGUUGCGAACGGGUGAGUAACGCGUAGGUAACUGCCUGGUAGCGGGGGAUAACUAUUGGAAACGAUAGCUACUACCGCAUACUACCAGAUGGACCUGCUGUGUAUUAGCUAGUUGGUGGGGUAACGGCUCACCAAGGCAACGAUACAUAGCCGACCUGAGAGGGUGAACGGCCCAACUGGGACUGGGGCACGGCCCAGGAUCCUACGGGAGGCAGCCGUAGGGAAACUUCGGCAAUGGACGGAAGUCUUACCGAGCAACGCCGCGGGAGUGAAGAAGGUCUUCGGAUCGUAAAGGUCUGUUGUAAGGGAAGCGGUAUCUUACCAGAAAGGGACGGCUAACUACGUGCCAGCCGCCGCGGUAAUUC